CCAUUAAACACAGAAUGGUAGCCAUCAAAGAGCAGAUACUUUUAGAAUAAUUCCAUUAUAAUCAGAAGUGUCAGCGCUGAAUAUAACUGUUCUAGUGCCCUAUAAUUAGGAAAGAGAAAGCAUUUUAUUGUAAGAACAUGUAUUCCAACUGUUACAUACCAGUUCAGACGUUCCCUAACAAACUACCAUGUCUGAUUUUUACUAAUCAUAAAAGGAUAACAAAUGCUGAAGAGGAUGUGGAGAAACUGAAACUCUUGCGCACUGUGGGCGGGCAUGUAAACUGGGAUAGCCACUGUGGAAACCGGUAUAGCAGUUCCUCAAAAAAUUAAAAAUGAAAUUACCAUAUGAUCCAACAAUUCCACUUCCGGCUAUAUUCUCAGAAGAAUUAAAUGCAGGGUUUUGAAGAGAUAUUUGAACACCCAUGUUCACGGCAUAUUAUUCACAAUAAUUAAAACAUGGAAGCAACCCAAGAGUCCAACAGACAAUGGAUCAGCACAAUGUGGUAUAUACAUACAAUGGAAUACUAUUCAGCCUUAAAAUGGAAGGAAAUUCUGACAUACGCUACAACAUGGAUGAAAUGUGAGGACAUUCUGAAUGAAAUAAGCCAGUCAAAAAACAUAUAUAUAGGGUUCAACAUACGCAAAUCAAUAAAUGUGAUUCACCACACAAAUAGAAUUAGCCACAAAAACCAUGUGAUUAUCUCAAUAGAUGCAGAAAAGCCUUUGAUAAAAUCCAACAUCUCUUCAUGAUAAAAACCCUCAACAAACUAGGCACUGAAGAACAUACCUCAAAAUAAUAAGAGCCAUCUAUGACACACUCACAGCCAACAUCAUACUGAACAGGCAAAAGAUGGAAGCAUUUCCCUUGAGGACCGGAACAAGGGAACAGGAUGCCCGCUCUCACCACUCCUAUUCAACACAGUACUGAUGUCCUAGCCAAAGCAAUCAGUCAAGAGAAAUAAAAGGCAUCCGAAUAAGGAAAGAAGUCAAACUGUCUCUCUUCACGGAUAUGAUUCUAUACCCAGAAAACCCUAAAGACUCUGCCAAAUGACUUGAGUAGUUUCAGGAUACAAGAUCAACAUAGAAAAAUCAGUAGCAUGUCUAUACACUAUAAGGUUCAACCUGAAAGCCAAAUCAAAAAUGCGAUCCCGCCCUCUCCCUCUCCCCCUCCCCCUCCCCCUCUCCCUUUCCACUUUCCAGGGUCUCCCUCUCAUGCCGAACCCUCUCCNNNNNNNNNNACUCUGUCUAGGAAAAUCAGAGACCUUUGUUCACUUGUUUAUCUGCUGCCCUUCCUUCCACUAUUGUCCUAUGACCCUGCCAAAUCCCCCUCUGCGAGAAACACCCAAGAAUGAUCAAUAAAAAAUAAAAUAAAAUAAAAUAAAAUAAAAAGAAUGCGAUCCCAUUUUCAAUUGCCACCAAAAAAAU
rnacentral:lncRNA from 1 species